GACGAACGCUGGCGGCGUGCUUAACACAUGCAAGUCGUACGGUAAGGCCCUUUCGGGGGUCCACGAGUGGCGAACGGGUGAGUAACACGUGAGUAACCUGCCCACAACUUUGGGAUAACGCUAGGAAACUGGUGCUAAUACUGGAUAUGUGCUCCUGCUGCAUGGUGGGGGUUGGAAAGCUCCGGCGGUUGUGGAUGGACUCGCGGCCUAUCAGCUUGUUGGUGGGGUAGUGGCCUACCAAGGCGGCGACGGGUAGCCGGCCUGAGAGGGUGACCGGCCACAGUGGGACUGAGAUACGGCCCAGACUCCUACGGGAGGCAGCAGUGGGGAAUAUUGCACAAUGGGCGCAAGCCGGAUGCAGCAACGCCGCGUGCGGGAUGACGGCCUUCGGGUUGUAAACCGCUUUCAGCAGGGACGAAGCUUUUUGUGACGGUACCUGCAGAAGAAGCACCGGCUAACUACGUG
rnacentral:rRNA from 1 species